AGGCAGCUGAUAGCGGGCAACAGCAGUAUAUUGAAUUUCCCUUUAAACCUUGCUGAGUUUGCCUCAACCUCUGCUUUCUCCCCGCCCCCAGACUCUCUUUCGUCUUCUUCGGUGGGCCGUGGGCCGAUCUCCAGAAUUCUCACCUUUCUCUACCUGCUAGAGUGGAGGGAUCAGUGAGCGCGUGCUUCCGUAGUCUAAACUAUUGCGUUUACAGAACUGGGCAGUGACGGUGUUUCUGCAGCGUUACACCGGUGACCGGUGGUAUUGCAGAGUCAUCCACAAGGAACUUCUGCCACCAUUUUGAAAGCUGUGUCAUGGAAUUUCAGAGCUAAAAACGGGGCAAGAAUGCUUCUGAUUCAACUUCCUCAUUGUGCGUGGGAGGGGGGAUGACUGGAUGUGCCCAAGAGAGAAGGUCUGUGAAGGUGAAAACUCAAGUUUUGUCCACUGUAUGACCUUUAAAAACAAAUGCUGAAGUAAUGUGUUUUUUCGUUCUCACAUUCCCUGAAGACACACAAAGAGGCUGCAUUUUAAGGAAUCCUGAACAUAUGUACCUGAUGAACACAGUCAAAUUUAGAAGACUGCAGGUUCAGGUGUUCUUAUAAAGGCACGUUUUUAAUAGCUGCAAAAUGACCUAUGGUAUACUCUACUGACAUCAAUAUUUAGACCGAGGAGGAAAUGCAGGAAUUAAGACAAUGGAGUUAUAAAUAGGACAUCUGGAACUGAAAAGGCAAGUAGGGCAGCCCAUGGGGUUUAUAGUGGAGGGUGGGUCAAGACAGGGAGGGAAAAUAGAAGUUUUUGGAGUUUUCCAACCAGCCACAUUGGGGAAAAUGUGUAUGCGAAUAUUUUAUGUACAAAUAGAGGUAUGUACUAACCUGUCAAUUCACACUUUCUUUCUUGAGUGAAGUGACCCACCAGGAGACUUGUUUCCUGGGUUUCCUCUAUUGGCCGAUCUGACUCUCGCCAGGCACCAUCCUCACGUUCCAUGCAGUUUCUCAGAUCACACUUGUGGGUAUACCUGAUUCCUCCUGCUCUGCUUUAGCAUUUUUACGCUCCCAAAGGACAGGUUAGGACUGAACUCAUUAUUAGACACCCUCACCUAGGACACCCUCCAGGCAGGUCAAAGCUUGUAAAACCCCGAAGGCAUAGCGAGCUGUGCGAGGAGCUG